CCUACGGGAGGCAGCAGUGGGGAAUUUUGGACAAUGGGCGCAAGCCUGAUCCAGCCAUGCCGCGUGAGUGAAGAAGGCCUUCGGGUUGUAAAGCUCUUUCAGACGGAAAGGAAUCUCUUGGGCGAAUACCCUGGGAGGAUGACGGUACCGUAAGAAGAAGCACCGGCUAACUACGUGCCAGCAGCCGCGGUAAUACGUAGGGUGCGAGCGUUAAUCGGAAUUACUGGGCGUAAAGCGUGCGCAGGCGGUGAUGUAAGACAGAUGUGAAAUCCCCGGGCUCAACCUGGGAACUGCGUUUGUGACUGCAUCACUCGAGUACGGCAGAGGGAGGUGGAAUUCCGCGUGUAGCAGUGAAAUGCGUAGAUAUGCGGAGGAACACCGAUGGCGAAGGCAGCCUCCUGGGCCAGUACUGACGCUCAUGCACGAAAGCGUGGGGAGCAAACAGGAUUAGAUACCCUGGUAGUCCACGCCCUAAACGAUGUCAACUAGUUGUUCGGUGAGGAGACUCAUUGAGUAACGCAGCUAACGCGUGAAGUUGACCGCCUGGGGAGUACGGCCGCAAGGUUAAAACUCAAAUGAAUUGACGG
rnacentral:rRNA from 1 species